rnacentral:rRNA from 1 species
CUACGGGGGGCACCAGUGGGGAAUAUUGGACAAUGGGGGAAACCCUGAUCCAGCAAUGCCGCGUGUGUGAAGAAGGCCUGCGGGUUGUAAAGCACUUUCGGUUGGGAGGACUGCUUCUAGCACUAAUAUUGUUGGAAGUUGACGUUACCUUCAGAAGAAGCACCGGCUAUCUCCGUGCCAGCGGCCGCGGUAAUACGGAGGGUGCAAGCGUUAAUCGGAAUUACUGGGCGUAAAGCGCGCGUAGGCGGCUAGAUCAGUCGGGUGUGAAAGCCCCGGGCUUAACCUGGGAACUGCAUCCGAUACUGUCUAGCUUGAGUACAGGAGAGGAGAGUGGAAUUCCACAUGUAGCGGUGAAAUGCGUAGAUAUGUGGAGGAACACCAAUGGCGAAGGCAGCUCUCUGGCCUGAUACUGACGCUGAGGUGCGAAAGCGUGGGGAGCAAACGGGAUUAGAUACCCUUGUAGUC